UAAAGAACUUGUCACCUUUUGGAAAUUUCCAUUGCUGACUUGAAAUUUUUUUGUAUAAGGUCCUUCUUGUUUGUCUGUGUGCAUGCCUCAUGGACUUGAGAUGUCAGGAUCAGUUACGAAACCGAAGUUUGGUGCCUCCUCUUUAUCAUGUUUUUUUCCUUGUAGCAGUUGUGUUUAAUGUCAUUAAAGAGAAAUAAAAGUUC